rnacentral:rRNA from 1 species
UACGUAGGGUGCGAGCGUUGCCCGGAAUUACUGGGCGUAAAGCGUACGCAGGCGGCUAUGUAAGACAGGUGUGAAAUCCCCGGGCUUAACCUGGGAACUGCAUUUGUGACUGCAUAGCUAGAGUCUGUCAGAGGGGGGUGGAAUUCCACGUGUAGCAGUGAAAUGCGUAGAGAUGUGGAGGAACACCGAUGGCGAAGGCAGCCCCCUGGGAUAAGACUGACGCUCAUGUACGAAAGCGUGGGGAGCAAACAGG